GGGUGGCUUGAGGGUGAGUAGCCUAAAUCAUGGGGUAAUUUUCAUUUUUGGGUGAACUAUUACUUUAAGUGUAAUAUUGAAAAAUGCAUUACAAUUAAAUUUAUAAUCAAGAUUUUCACAUUUGCUCUAGUGUGUUUUAAGAAUAUUAAAACAAUUAUUUAAAAGUUACUUUAAAACUUUUAAUUUAAAUUUUUAAUAUUUACAAAGUGCACUUUUUAAAUAUAGCCUACACAAAGAAAUGGUCAUGAAAGUGUUCUCUCUUUAAGUGGCCUUUUUAAAAAAUAUCUAAGUUACUUAAAUAAUAAAUAAUACUUUUAAGAUAUGAAAUACACUACAAUUGCACAUUUGAAAAAAAUAAAAUAAAAAUAAGCUCACUUUUUCCUAAGUGUUAAAACAUGCUUUUAUGUGAAAUAAGCUGACAGCACUUUUAUGAUUAGCAGUCGGAACCUCCUCUCUAUAACUUCCCUUAUUUACCAUAUAAAUAUAGUAUUCAGGCCUAACAGCAGGCAGUUGUCUAUUGAUUAUUGAAGACUGUGACACAGAGAUGACAAAAUUACUUAUUUUUCUUCUGGCGACCCUUCUGUUCUGUUCAGGCAUUUCAAAUGUUCAGAUGGGAAUGUCUCAGCACUUUGACCAUCCGAAUCCUGUGAGGGAGAUGGAGUUCAGUUAUCAUGACAAAGCAACGGAGAACAAACAGAUGAUAAUUUGUGGUGUUUGUAAGACCAUCCUUAGAAAAGUGAUAACAUUUAUUGGAAAAACAGCUUCUAAGGAGGAGAUUAAUCAGAAGCUUGAUAGAAUCUGUCAAAAAAUAAGAAUAAGUGGUUGUCAAAGUUUUUUGCAGAAAUAUAAAAAUAAAGUGGUCAAUAGUCUGCUCUCUGGAGACAAAGCAGGGACCAUCUGUAUCAAAUUAAAACUGUGCAAAAAGAUGGACAUGCAAACUAUACAGUAAUGUGAAUGCUUCAAGUAUAGAAUUGCAUUGUCAUUUAUGUUAUAAUUUGUUACACAUGACAAUAAAAUUAAAGCUCAAUAAUAAUCA
ensembl:lncRNA